AUGUUGUGUGAAAUAAGAGAAGAUAAGCAUUCCCCUUGACAAGAAUGGAAGAUGCCCUCAGGCCUGCCAACACACAUAUAGUUAAGGCAUUACCACCUACUCUCCUGUGUUUUAAUUCCUGU
ensembl:snRNA